rnacentral:rRNA from 1 species
UACGAGAGGCCCAAACGUUAUUCGGAUUUACUGGGCUUAAAGAGUUCGUAGGCGGCUUGGAAAGUGGGGUGUGAAAGCCCGCGGCUCAACCGAGGAAUUGCGCUCCAAACUACCGAGCUUGAGUAGGCUAGAGGUGAGCAGAACUGAUGGUGGAGCGGUGAAAUGCGUUGAUAUCAUCAGGAAUACCGGAGGCGAAGGCGGCUCACUGGGACCUAACUGACGCUGAGGAACGAAAGCUAGGGGAGCAAACGGG